rnacentral:rRNA from 1 species
GACGAAGGUGGCAACCGUUGCUCGGAUUCACUGGGCAUAAAGCGCGCGUAGGUGGCUUUGCAGGUCAUCGGUGAAAAACCCCGGCACAACCGGGGAACUGCCGAUGAAACCGCAUUGCUUGAGGUCGGGAGAGGAGAGUGGAACUCUUGGUGUAGCGGUGAAAUGCGUAGAUAUCAAGAGGAACGCCGGUGGCGAAAGCGGCUCUCUGGACCGAUCCUGACACUAAUGCGCGAAAGCUAGGGGAGCAAACAGG